GCCCCUUGCUGGGGGACGCAGACUUCCGGAAUCAUGUGCCGCCUGGUGCUUUUCUGGCUCUGACACCUAAGAGCGGUGAUCUUUGGGGAAGGGGGAGGCUGGAGAAUUGGACAAACCUGGCUCCCGGCUGCUGUGAUUGCGACACCCGGGAAGAGGAGGAGGAGGAGGAGGGAGGAAGAAAACAUUCGCUUAUUUGCAAAACUGAGGUUCAGCUUUUGAAAUUGAAUCCCUCAGCUGCCCCCCAUGACUUCCUCUAUUUUUCCCUUCACCCCUUCCCCGCAGCAACCCACUUCCUGCUUUCACGAAUGCCCUAGCACCAGGGCUUCGUUGAGUGACAAUAACUCCGGCUUUGGCUUCUGUCUUGCUACAGGGUUUGCUGCCUCCUUUCUGGGGACUUGGUUAAAUCACCUGCGCGACCUAUGCAAACCCGCGCGACGGGAUCGUGGGUCCCGCUGUGUACUCCGGGCCUGACUCAAACUCACUGUGCAGCCCAGGAUGGCCUCAGACUUGCAACAAACUUGUGACAGUGGGAGGCGCCCUGGUGCCUAGAAGCUCACAGAAUGAGGGAUUGACAUCAUCCGAUCAAUUUGACAGUUGAUGCCAGUCGUGUUCACAGUGCUGGGCCCCUAACUGGAAACAGUCCACAUUCUGCCAUGACCUUCAGGAAGACGGCAAAGGCGAGGGUACUGGAGACACGGAGCGCUGGGAGGCGGGGAGGCGGGAAGCGGGAAUUUCUUCAGUCCUGUGACUUUCCCUGAGGCAUGUGUAUUUGUAUUCAGAAGUGAUGCACUGGAAUAGUGGACAAGAUAAGCCAGCAGAGGGGGAGCUGGGACGUGGCGGGGGGGGGGGGAUUUCCACUUAACAGACCCACCCCGGCCUGCAUUCCAGCUUCAGGUCAGAGAGAGGGCAGGCCUGAUGCUACACGGGAUACAGAAAGCACACUUAUGCUAGAAAGGUACGGGUCGGUGGGGCUGCAUAGGCCUGCCAUCCGGGUACUCCGGGAGACUGGGGUAGGAGGAGCGAAAGUUCAAGUUCAGCCUGGGCAACUUGGUGAGGCCGUGGAAAGGAGAGGCUGCAGAUGUAGCUCAGUACAGAGACCCUGGGUUCAAGCUCCUGUAGCAAACAAACGACAAGAGCAAAAAGCACAAUCAACCCUCUGCACUUGUGUCUGUGGAUUCAACCACAGUAGAAUUCAACCACGGUAGAAAAUAUUCAGGAAAGGUAAUAGCACCUCUAUUACACAGGUAAAG